GCGCACCUCGUCGAUGCACUCCGAGUUGAAAAGAAGAGGUUGAGCUGUUGAAAUAAAAAAUCAAUCGGUAGAAAGUGUUUGAUUGAUAGGAAAGGUGGAAAAGAAGUUUUAAUUGGUGAAAGUAUAAGAAGUGGUAGAGGAGAUGCGAAUCUGUGAGGAUAAUACCUGAUUUGUAAUAGUGAGACGCGAAAUAGGAGCAUUAAACGUUUGCCUCUGC
rnacentral:lncRNA from 1 species